ACGCUCGACACCUACGGGAUGCAGCAGUGGGGAAUAUUGCACAAUGGGGGAAACCCGUGAUGCAGCGACGCCGCGUGAGCGAAGAAGUAUUUCGGUAUGUAAAGCUCUAUCAGCAGGGAAGAAACUGACGGUACCUGACUAAGAAGCACCGGCUAAAUACGUGCCAGCAGCCGCGGUAAUCUGAGCGGGCGUGGCGAAGGC
rnacentral:rRNA from 1 species